UACGUAGGGUGCAAGCGUUGUCCGGAAUUAUUGGGCGUAAAGAGCUCGUAGGCGGCUUGUCACGUCGACUGUGAAAACCCGAGGCUCAACCUCGGGCCUGCAGUCGAUACGGGCAGGCUAGAGUUCGGUAGGGGAGACUGGAAUUCCUGGUGUAGCGGUGAAAUGCGCAGAUAUCAGGAGGAACACCGGUGGCGAAGGCGGGUCUCUGGGCCGAUGACUGACGCUGAGGAGCGAAAGCAUGGGUAGCGAACAGG
rnacentral:rRNA from 1 species